AAAGAUCACGGCAAGGUCAUCAGUGCUGCUCCAGCCCCGUGGCACGAAGUGGGCCUCUGUGGGCAUCUUACUAGACAGUGCUGGAUUUUUGGAUGUAUUCUAACACUGUCUGGUAACGAUGUUUAAAGAGGGAACCCGACCCGGCAGGUG
ensembl:miRNA sha-mir-200a sha-mir-200a